GAUGAACGCUGGCGGCGUGCCUAAUACAUGCAAGUCGAGCGAACGGACGAGAAGCUUGCUUCUCUGAUGUUAGCGGCGGACGGGUGAGUAACACGUGGAUAACCUACCUAUAAGACUGGGAUAACUUCGGGAAACCGGAGCUAAUACCGGAUAAUAUUUUGAACCGCAUGGUUCAAAAGUAAAAGACGGUCUUGCUGUCACUUAUAGAUGGAUCCGCGCUGCAUUAGCUAGUUGGUAAGGUAACGGCUUACCAAGGCAACGAUGCAUAGCCGACCUGAGAGGGUGAUCGGCCACACUGGAACUGAGACACGGUCCAGACUCCUACGGGAGGCAGCAGUAGGGAAUCUUCCGCAAUGGGCGAAAGCCUGACGGAGCAACGCCGCGUGAGUGAUGAAGGUCUUCGGAUCGUAAAACUCUGUUAUUAGGGAAGAACAUAUGUGUAAGUAACUGUGCACAUCUUGACGGUACCUAAUCAGAAAGCCACGGCUAACUACG
rnacentral:rRNA from 1 species